GGAUCUCAGUAGCGCAAUGGAUAGCGCGUUGGACUUCUAAUCCAAAAGUCGUAGGUUCGAAUCCUACCAAUGAUGUCCU